rnacentral:rRNA from 1 species
AGAGUUUGAUCCUGGCUCAGGAUGAACGCUGGCGGCGUGCCUAACACAUGCAAGUCGAGCGAUUUACUUCGGUAAAGAGCGGCGGACGGGUGAGUAACGCGUGGGUAACCUGCCCUGUACACACGGAUAACAUACCGAAAGGUAUGCUAAUACGAGAUAAUAUGCUUUUAUCGCAUGGUAGAAGUAUCAAAGCUCCGGCGGUACAGGAUGGACCCGCGUCUGAUUAGCUAGUUGGUAAGGUAACGGCUUACCAAGGCGACGAUCAGUAGCCGACCUGAGAGGGUGAUCGGCCACAUUGGAACUGAGACACGGUCCAAACUCCUACGGGAGGCAGCAGUGGGGAAUAUUGCACAAUGGGCGAAAGCCUGAUGCAGCAACGCCGCGUGAGCGAUGAAGGCCUUCGGGUCGUAAAGCUCUGUCCUCAAGGAAGAUAAUGACGGUACUUGAGGAGGAAGCCCCGGCUAACUACGUGCCAGCAGCCGCGGUAAUACGUAGGGGGCUAGCGUUAUCCGGAAUUACUGGGCGUAAAGGGUGCGUAGGUGGUUUCUUAAGUCAGAGGUGAAAGGCUACGGCUCAACCGUAGUAAGCCUUUGAAACUGGGAAACUUGAGUGCAGGAGAGGAGAGUGGAAUUCCUAGUGUAGCGGUGAAAUGCGUAGAUAUUAGGAGGAACACCAGUUGCGAAGGCGGCUCUCUGGACUGUAACUGACACUGAGGCACGAAAGCGUGGGGAGCAAACAGGAUUAGAUACCCUGGUAGUCCACGCCGUAAACGAUGAGUACUAGCUGUCGGAGGUUACCCCCUUCGGUGGCGCAGCUAA